rnacentral:rRNA from 1 species
GCAAGUCGCAGGGUAACAUGAAGAAAGCUCGCUUUCCUUGAUGACGACUUGCCCACGGGUGGGUAACGCGUAACCAACCUUCCCAUAACUACGGGAUAACCCGUUGAAAGACGGCCUAAUACCGUAUGAUAUCGUUUGCUGACAUCAAAAACGAUUAAAGGUUUAGCGGUUAUGGAUGGGGAUGCGUCUGAUUAGCUUGUUGGCGGGGUAACGGCCCACCAAGGCAACGAUCAGUAGGGGUUCUGAGAGGAAGGUC